rnacentral:lncRNA from 1 species
AAUACCCAACAAAUGGCCAGUUACUUAUGGGUUGAACUUCGGACUGGGCUCAAGCCGAGUCCAGGCCGAGCCAAAGAUCUAUUUAAGCCCGGCCCGAAACUGCAAAGGGCUCUAUUUUUUGAUCCAACCCCAAUCUGAAUGGUUUCAGGUUGGAUCCGAAAUCGGCCCAAUCCGAGCCCACUUUCAGUCCUAAUUAUAACUGCAA